ensembl:lncRNA
UUUUUUUUUUUUUUUAAGGGCUACACCCACGGCAUACGGAAGUUUAGGGCUAGGAGUUGAAUCAGAGCUGCAGCUGCCAGCCUACACCACAGCCAUGCCAGAUCCGAGCCAUGUCUGCGACCUACACCACAGCUUGAGGCAACGCCGGAUCCUUAACCCACUGAAUGAGGCCAGGGAUCAAAUACCCCUCCUCGUGGAUAGCAGUCGGGUAAGUUACUGCUGAGCCAUGAUGGGAACUCCAAGAUUUACCAUUUUAAUAGUAGGAUUUCUCUAAACGUUUGAUAACAGAAACUCUGUUCUGAGCUUUAUCUUUGGAAAGUUCUCCCGGUUAGAGAGUUAAGACAUCAUCAGGCAGAACUUAAGGAAUAACUGGAUUUGGACCCCAAACAGCGUCAACACCUGAGGAUGGUGGCUCUUCGAAGAAGCCAGUUCCCUGGCUGUGGAUGGCCCCCUGCAGGAAGAGAUUCACUCCCAGGGGCACUGAGGAUCACUAUUUCCAUGCUCCUCACUCUCAAAGACUGUUGUCCCCCAUCACUGUCAAGGGGGAGUUUUAAUUCAAAGGGAAAAACAGUGAUAUAUGACUACUGUAACUGGCGUGUGCAAGCUUUUAUCUCCUUUCUACCUCAACAUCUCUGAGGCCCACUCAAAAAACUACAUUUUCAACCCAAGGUCAACUGCUGAGCCCAUGUGGAUUCAGAGGCACUCUGGCCCCUGGAAAUGGAUGAAGUGGCUGUUCGCCCAACUCCUGCAAUGUCCCAUAAGCUGCCUACUCAGCAGCCGGGACUGAAAACUCCAGAGAGGUCUAGAAGUCUGUUCUGUGACUGAGAAGAAAACAGGGACAGAAGCUCUAGGAGAGGCGGGAGGGAAUGAGAAAGUAUGAGAAAGAGAGAAGAGGUGGUUCCAGGCGGCUCCUGGGGAGACGCAUCGUUUCUGAAGCAUUUCCCAAGCACGUGAGCAGCGAAGGCAGCACAUAGCCACAGUGGCCCUGAAGUUAUCAUCAUUACCAGCAGCCUCUCACACUGGGGUCUUUGUGCUGUUUCUCUGCCCUCCAUCCUCGCUCACCCAAGACCUCUGCUGGAAGACAUGGCAGAGAAGAGGCAGGAAGGGGACACGUGGGCCUUCAGAUGUCUCAACGGGCUCCCAUGGAGCCCCAGCCCAGCCUGGUGGGGGGUCUGCAGACUCUUAGAAAGUCAGCAAAGGGCCUUCUGACCCAUAGGAAGUAUAUGAAAAUGGCCAAGAUGGCAGUGUUCUGCCUCCAACCCUGUUUGUUUUAAGCAGUGACCUUCAAGUGUGUCUAUGUUACAACCUGAGGCCACUUACAGGCACCAACUUCCUACCCUCUGCUCCAUGCAGUGUCUACACACUGGACUGAACUGCCCAAAUCAGAAUGCAGCCCAGAGCUUGCAGCCACUGCCCUUUAGAAGAACGCUCCUCAGGGUGUCAGCCCCCAGAACUAGCUGAGGGAGAACAGGAGUGAGCAAGUGUUUUAGCUCUAAUUUUUACUUAGAAAUUAACAGGCUCUCCAGUGGCUCAGCUGACCCACGCGUGCAUCUCCUGCUUUACUUUUCUGGUGUGUCUUGGGAUUUAGGUGGCGGAGUGCUUCAGGGGCUGGAGUGUCAACUUUGGAUUCAGUCACACCCGGGUUCAAAUCCUAGCACCAUCCCUUACCGGUGCAUGGCGUUGGGAGAGUGGCCGCCUUCAUGAACCUCAGUUUCUCUGCCUAUAAAUGGGUUGCAAAUGCUGUUUCUGGCCAAGUCACUGAAUUCAGAGUCUAGCCCAGUGCCUGGCCCUGAGCAGGUGCUCAACAAACCCUGCUUCUCCUUCCCCUUCCCUUGCUGGGGACUGGGGAGACCCCGUCUGAAGAACUCAUGCACUCCCACAACGUUUCAGAAGACCUCCCCGCAUUCUCAGGUCAAUAACUAUGAAUACUCGUCAAGAAUACACUCUGGGGAGUUCCCGUUGUGGCUCAGAGGUUAACGAAUCCAACUAGGAUCCAUGAGGAUACGGGUUCGAUCCCUGGCCUUGCUCAGUGGGUUAAGGAUCCGGUGUUGCCAUGAUCUGUGGUGUAGGUUGCAGACACAGCUCUGAUCCCGUGUUGCUGUGGCUGUGGUAUAGGCUGGCAGCUGUAGCUCUGACUGGACCCCUAGGCCCCCCCUGCUGGGAACUUCCAUAUGCUGCAGGUGAAGCCCUAAAAAGAAAAAAAAAACAAAAACAAAACCAAAAAAAUUUUCUGGUGGAAAAUUUUUACUUUAGGGUUAUUUCUUGUGAGUUUCAAGAAACAGAACCAAACACAGAAAACAUGUUUUGUAAACUAUCUGUAAACAGCUGGCGCAGAGCUAAAAUUUUUGGUGAAAUGAGAAGGAAUUCAAGCAAAAGCCCUAAACUGAUUCCUCUGAGGAGUGUCACAACCCUCACAUCGGCACUUCCGAGGGGAUUCCAGACAUGGAAUAACAACAAAGCCCCACGUCCCCUGGCUUAUGUCAGAGUGUCUGUCCUGUUCCUUCUUUGCUCAGACCCAAUGGGGGCUCCCCAGGCCUCUGGCUGGAGUCCAAGCCUUUGAACACAUUCCCGGAUCAGCCCCUCCAGCUCCGUUCUCCACCAUCCCCUCCUCUACACCCCACCUCUCAUCCACACUGCACCACCAAUGAGGCUUCAUUUUCUUUCUUUCUCACUCUCUCUUUCUUUUUCUUUUUUUGCUUUUUAGGGCUGCACCCACGGCAUAUGGAAGUUCCCAUG